GAUGAACGCUGACAGAAUGCUUAACACGUGCAAGUCAACUUGAAUUUGGGUUUUUACCUUAGGUUUGGGUGGCGGACGGGUGAGUAACGCGUAAAGAACUUGCCUCACAGCUAGGGACAACAUUUGGAAACGAAUGCUAAUACCUAAUAUUAUGAUAAUAGGGCAUCCUAUAAUUAUGAAAGCUAUAAGCGCUGUGAGAGAGCUUUGCGUCCCAUUAGCUAGUUGGAGAGGUAACGGCUCACCAAGGCGAUGAUGGGUAGCCGGCCUGAGAGGGUGAUCGGCCACAAGGGGACUGAGACACGGCCCUUACUCCUACGGGAGGCAGCAGUGGGGAAUAUUGGACAAUGGACCGAGAGUCUGAUCCAGCAAUUCUGUGUGCACGAUGAAGUUUUUCGGAAUGUAAAGUGCUUUCAGUUGGGAAGAAACAAAUGACGGUACCAACAGAAGAAGUGACGGCUAAAUACGUG
rnacentral:rRNA from 1 species